rnacentral:siRNA from 1 species
GGUAAGUGACCGGGAGACAAUUGC